GACCUCGGAUCAGGUAGGGAUACCCGCUGAACUUAAGCAUAUCAAUAAGCGGAGGAAAAGAAACCAACAGGGAUUGCCUCAGUAACGGCGAGUGAAGCGGCAACAGCUCAAAUUUGAAAUCUGGCCUUCGGGUCCGAGUUGUAAUUUGCAGAGGAUGCUUCGAGCAUGGUCUAGUCUAAGUUCCUUGGAAUAGGACGUCAUAGAGGGUGAGAAUCCCGUAUGCGACUGGGUGCCUAAGCUCAUGUGAAACUCCUUCGACGAGUCGAGUUGUUUGGGAAUGCAGCUCAAAAUGGGUGGUAAAUUUCAUCUAAAGCUAAAUAUUGGCCAGAGACCGAUAGCGCACAAGUAGAGUGAUCGAAAGAUGAAAAGCACUUUGGAAAGAGAGUUAAAUAGCACGUGAAAUUGUUGAAAGGGAAGCGCUUGCAAUCAG
rnacentral:rRNA from 1 species